GUACGCUGAACUGGACCCUCGCAGCAAGAAUGGCAUGUGGGAAUUGACACCGCGAUUGUGGAACACAUGGCUGAUCUGCCUUGAAUAACUGCAAGCCGGCGCGUGCGUACUGCCGUGGAGAACGAUCAGAAGUCCCCCCCCCCCCCCCCCUGGACGACAAAGAAAAAAACUUCAAAGCUGCUUCUAGUAGUGGUGCCCCUGGUGUGCACCUUUGCCUACCGGUAAUGACAUAGAAAGUGCUCAGCUUCCUGGACAUAGGCAUGCAGGUUACGAGACGGAAAACAUGCAGCUUAGACUUUAUGCUUGUAAAUGCGAAAGUCGUAACCGACAUAAUUAGAGUAAGCUAAAGGGAGAAAUUUCUGCUUAUGAGCAAGUAAUUAUGAAGCAGGUUUUACUCCUCUUAAACUAGCAGACAUGCAACAACACAGUUGUGAUAUGUUUGUUUUGU
rnacentral:lncRNA from 1 species